GGCUCGUGGCAGCCAUCGGCCCCCGACACCUCUGAGCUCCCUGCCGUGGUGGCAGGACGGUCUCCUGCUGCCGUUUGGGGAGAGCUUCCUGCAUCCAGGCCCCCCCAAGGGAAAGUGAGCGCUGUGAUCCUCUUAAUUUGUGCCUCAUUCUCCUUCCUUCUUCCUCUGGCUGAGUUUCCUGUCAGCUAACUUUGGCCUUUCCGUGGACCGCUGCCUGGUGUCUGUCGGUGAAGGAACUGCUCGAACCUCCUCCAGUAGGUGAGGCUCUGGGACUAGUGCUUCCUGGAAAUUUAAAGCUGUUUGUUAGUUUUUUUUAACAAGUUGAACAGUAGCUAACAUUUGAUACAGUGACAACUUGUUUUAACCCAUACAGAUUGUUGCUGGUGCUUGACUGACAGUGGCUGUGCGGGGCCCUGGGAUGGUUUGUUCAGUAGGGUGCCUGGUACACACCUACCUCUGACACCACAGGUAUAUUGAGACUGAAAUCCAUUUGCCUUAAGUCUGCAGGGAAAUUAUGUAUGUUUUGGACACCACCUUAGUGGGGCUCAAACAGCAACCCCUAUGUCACAUCAUUUCUGUCAUUUCUUUUAUUCUUGCUCUCUGAUCGAGGACCUUGUGGUGUACUGCUCUUUUCCUGGUCCAGCAGGAAGUUUGGCCUUUGUUCUGGGCAUGGCUUACAAAAUCCUGCCAGGUGCUUUGACUGCAGUAUGUGUAUGCUCCUUCACAUAGAGCUGUAUCACCUUGCCCAAGGCAGAGCUCUUUGAAUUUGGUUGGGUCUGUGGCUCUGGGUGAGGUUUUCACUGUUGAAGUGGGCUUGUGCUAAUCAAAGUGCUUCAGGAGCUUGAUAAGGGCAGAGCUGCCUCCUCCCUCAGAAUGGUGAAUAGCUUUUAAUGGAUUGAGAGCUCUGCUUUUAAUGGAGAUGAUAGCCAACAAGCCCUGCUACUAGCUAUGAGGGUCCUUGGUCUAACUCCCUCUCUGUGGGAUCCUCCUGGCUUCUUCACAUGAAGGUGAUUUAUUACUUGAACCUGAAGGUUUAUCUUGCAUCUGUACCAGGGAAUGUUUAUCCAGAAGUCCAUACCUCCUGACUCCUGACUGGUGCUUGGGCAUGACAGUUUCUAACAGCAAAACAUUUGGAAGAGCUCUAAUGAGUUAUACUGUGAGAAAGUGCACCCUACAAAAGCCGCAUCCCUGAGGGACCAGAGCAGGGCGCCUGGCAUGUGCUGGGACAUCAGGCAGGGAAAGGGCAUGCUGACCAUGCCCUGCUGCUGGCUGCGAGGCUCACACAAAUUGAGCGGUACAACUCAUCGGCAGCCUUCCUGCGCCAGCCAGCAGCAGUGGUACAAAGCAUGGCUUAAUUAUAACCCUGAAAGAGAAAAGGAUUUCUUCAUGAGAUGUUGCUUCAUGGCCGCUGGUGGCAGAGCUCCGCACGAGCCGAGUCGUGCUGGUUUGGCAGGUAGGUGUGGUGGUGAUGUGCACGCGUGGCUGGGCAGUGGGGCUCUGAGUCAGAAGCUUCUGGUGACGUUGCUAAAUUCAGUUUACCACAGAGGUCUUUUUCUGCUUUACACUGGAGCUGCUUUGAUGCAGCCUUUCUACAUUCAGAAAUAUGGCUCAGACCCAGUUCUUGUGAGUCACAGGUAUUCAUUCGUUAGGCCUUGGCAAAAGGCAAGUAAGAAAAAGUGUUGUCCGUGUUAGGUGUCUGUGGUCUGGUUUCCACCAUGCUCAUCUUCUGGCAGCAGUUAGGUGACAACAAUUAAACAUCGAGGCAGCCUGUCUUCCUAGCCAUGA